GACGAACGCUGGCGGCGUGCUUAACACAUGCAAGUCGAACGGAAAGGCCCUGCUUUUGUGGGGUGCUCGAGUGGCGAACGGGUGAGUAACACGUGAGUAACCUGCCCUUGACUUUGGGAUAACUCCAGGAAACUGGGGCUAAUACCGGAUAGGAGCUCCUGCUGCAUGGUGGGGGUUGGAAAGUUUCGGCGGUUGGGGAUGGACUCGCGGCUUAUCAGCUUGUUGGUGGGGUAGUGGCUUACCAAGGCUUUGACGGGUAGCCGGCCUGAGAGGGUGACCGGCCACAUUGGGACUGAGAUACGGCCCAGACUCCUACGGGAGGCAGCAGUGGGGAAUAUUGCACAAUGGGCGGAAGCAUGAUGCAGCAACGCCGCGUGCGGGAUGACGGCCUUCGGGUUGUAAACCGCUUUCGCCUGUGACGAAGCGUGAGUGACGGUAAUGGGUAAAGAAGCACCGGCUAACUACGU
rnacentral:rRNA from 1 species